AUGGCCGACAACACCAGAAUGAAGGAGCUUGCAGCUGAGGUUAAACGCCAAGGCGAAGUUUUAGAGAAGAACGAACAGUCAAAUGCAGCUCGUUUUGCGAGAAUGGAGACGAUGCAGUUAUCACCGGAGUCACGCUUUGUGGAGUUGUCGAAAUCUAUGGAAAUGAUGCUGAAACAGAUGCAAGCUCUCAAUGUCACCCAUGGAAGCACGAACUCAGCGUCUCAGACAUCAACCAUAUCUCACUCAUCAUCGUCGGGACAUGCGGCUCCAACACCUCCAUUUCAUGUUCGCAACAUUAAGCUGUAA
rnacentral:lncRNA from 1 species